rnacentral:rRNA from 2 species
GCGGUCGCCUCCUAAAAGGUAACGGAGGCGCUCAAAGGUUCCCUCAGAAUGGUUGGAAAUCAUUCAUAGAGUGUAAAGGCAUAAGGGAGCUUGACUGCGAGACCUACAAGUCGAGCAGGGUCGAAAGACGGACUUAGUGAUCCGGUGGUUCCGCAUGGAAGGGCCAUCGCUCAACGGAUAAAAGCUACCCCGGGGAUAACAGGCUUAUCUCCCCCAAGAGUUCACAUCGACGGGGAGGUUUGGCACCUCGAUGUCGGCUCAUCGCAUCCUGGGGCUGUAGUCGGUCCCAAGGGUUGGGCUGUUCGCCCAUUAAAGCGGUACGCUAGCUGGGUUCAGAACGUCGUGAGACAGUUCGGUCCCUAUCCGUCGUGGGCGUAGGAAAUUUGAGAGGAGCUGUCCUUAGUACGAGAGGACCGGGAU